UAUCUCUGUAGAGUCUGCAUAUCAAUAAGCGGAGGAAAAGAAACUAACUAGGAUUCCCUCAGUAACGGCGAGUGAAGCGGGAAGAGCUCAAAUUUGAAAUCUUCAAGGUUCUACCUUGACGAAUUGUAGUUUAAAGAAGUGUUUUCUGUUGGAGUUUUGGUAAAAGUUCUUUGGAAUAGGACAUCAUAGAGGGUGAGAAUCCCGUAUUUGACCGUUAUUUUCAGCUGUGUGAUACACUUUCAAAGAGUCGGAUUGUUUGGGAAUGCAGUCCAAAAUGGGUGGUAAAUUUCAUCUAAAGCUAAAUAUUGGCGAGAGACCGAUAGCGAACAAGUACCGUGAGGGAAAGGUGAAAAGAACUUUGAAAAGAGAGUUAAACAGUACGUGAAAUUGUCAAAAGGGAAGCGUUUGACACCAGUGUUGUUUUCUCGAAAAUCAAUUAAAAAGUGUUGGAUUUUGUAUUGUUAAGACCUUAUCAGCUUACUGUACUCUUUUCCUGCACUUUUUAAUGCACUUUUCGUUUAACAAGUCAACAUCAAUUUCUUUUGUUGUAAAAGAGUCAUUGGAAGGUGGCUUUCACUUCGGUGAAAGUGUUUAUAGCCUUUGGCUUCUGCAAUCGGAGAGAUUGAGGUCUGCAGCGUAGAUCCUUCGGGGUUAGAUACAUUUGUGCUAAGUUAUAGCCUUUCAUAGACAACUUGUUGACUAUGAUCAGUCAUGUAGCUUACUCGCUUAUGCUAUUUUACCUACGCUUAGGAUGUUGAGUCAUCACACAUCUC
rnacentral:rRNA from 1 species